rnacentral:rRNA from 1 species
GACGAACGCUGGCGGCGUGCCUAAUACAUGCAAGUCGAACGCUUCUUUCCUCCCGAGUGCUUGCACUCAAUUGGAAAGAGGAGUGGCGGACGGGUGAGUAACACGUGGGUAACCUACCCAUCAGAGGGGGAUAACACUUGGAAACAGGUGCUAAUACCGCAUAACAGUUUAUGCCGCAUGGCAUAAGAGUGAAAGGCGCUUUCGGGUGUCGCUGAUGGAUGGACCCGCGGUGCAUUAGCUAGUUGGUGAGGUAACGGCUCACCAAGGCCACGAUGCAUAGCCGACCUGAGAGGGUGAUCGGCCACACUGGGACUGAGACACGGCCCAGACUCCUACGGGAGGCAGCAGUAGGGAAUCUUCGGCAAUGGACGAAAGUCUGACCGAGCAACGCCGCGUGAGUGAAGAAGGUUUUCGGAUCGUAAAACUCUGUUGUUAGAGAAGAACAGGGACGUUAGUAACUGAACGUCCCCUGACGGUAUCUAACCAGAAAGCCACGGCUAACUACGUG